GCGAGCGACAAUAAGUGGAAAACAGAAUUGUCAUCCAUCUUGCAAGCGCGAAUAUGAGUAUCUACAGUGUUGUGUUGUUUUCACCGGUGCGAGCGUUUUAAAUAAUUAAUUGGCCGGCAAAAUGGAAGUCACGGAUAUGAAUUCGAAGCCAUUCGUUAAUUUCAUGGUUCAUUUCGCACGCUCUUUUCUGCUCGUUGUGUUUUCCACCAGUUUUAGCCAUCUCCUCACUCUUCAAAAACAUUCAGUAUAUUCAUAUUCUCGAGCGAAUCCCUGCAGCAAUUCAUUGCACAGGCAACCACAAAGACUAAUUUCCAUGCCUAGGAAUAUUCACAAACUAUCAACCAUUCAAAGUUUUUGGUGAUUAUAUUAGAUAGUUAAUGAUGAUGAUUCAUUACAAUUAAUUGGAACAAAUUGAGGACUCCCAGUGUGGAAAGAUUCGAAAUGAUCACGAACCAAUAUCCAAUCCCUAUUCCUAGAUUGGAAACGAGUCGAGGCGACGACGGUUUGCUCGAGACAAAUGAUCGGGAUCGAGAGGCCACGGUGUCUGACACAAUAUGCUCGAUCAACGUGGAUUGAUGCCCACAUCGGAGAAAAGUACGUGAAAGGUACGUUUAUUCUGGAUCCAAUUACGCAAUCCAUCCGAUAAACGAACUAUAAAUAUAUAUCAUGACCAUAAAAUACGCGAUAGAUAUAUAUUUAAGAUACAUAUUUCUGUCACUCUAUUAUUAUUUAGAGAAAUAUAUUUAUUACUAUUUAAAAGUAAUAAUAUAUUUUUUAAUCGUAUUAAAAGAAAAUGUAAAAUCGAGGUCAAAGAAAUUGGAAUCUACAUUUA